CUCCACAGGAUUAUAUGCAUUUAGAAACUGAUUUAGCUGAUGGAUGCUGGAGUGUAUCAGGACCCCCAGCCACCCAGAGAACAGAGCCCUGAUUAGACCCACCAUGGCCCAUGGAACACAGGGCGGACAAUUCUGUUUCCAAUGUCCCACUCUCUAUGAACAUUCUGAGAUGAAGAUGUGAGAUCCGGGGAUUGGUAAAGAUCCAGUCAACUGUGGGCCAAAUGCAUCCCCUGGCUGGCGGAGACCAUAGAGAACACGAUCACUGGUCACAAAACCGGGAUCCCAAGACAUACAACAAGACAAAAGGAAAAUUUCAUCGGGCUUCUUGUAUAUGCACAUUAACAGCACAUUAGCCAAGCGUUGGGUCUCUCUCCUCAAAAGAUUGUGCCUCCAAAAUUAGCAAGACAGGAAACAAAAUUUGUUGGAGAGGAUAGAGAGAAAGGGGAACCCUCUUCCACUGUUGGUGGGAAUGCAAGUUGGUGCAGCCUCUUUGGAGAACAGUGUGGAGAUUCCUCAAGAAAUUAAACAUAGAACUUCCCUAUGACCCUGCCAUUGCACUCCUGGGUAUUUACCCCAAAGAUAUAGAUGCAGUGAAAAGAAGGGCCAUCUGUACCCCAAUGUUUAUAGCAGCAAUGGCCACGGUCGCCAAACUGUGGAAAGAACCAAGAUGCCCUUCAGCGGACGAAUGGAUAAGGAAGAUGUGGUCCAUAUACACUAUGGAGUAUGAUGCCUCCAUCAGAAAGGAUGAAUACCCAACUUUUGUAGCAACAUGGACAGGACUGGAAGAGAUUAUGCUGAGUGAAAUAAGUCAAGCAGAGAGAGUCAAUUAUCAUAUGGUUUCACUUAUUUGUGGAGCAUAACAAAUAGCAUGGAGGACAUGGGGAGAAAGAGAGAAGGGAGUUGGGGGAAAUUGGAAGGGGAGGUGAAGUAUGAGAGAAUAUGGGUUCUGAAA